rnacentral:rRNA from 1 species
AACGAACGCUGGCGGCAGGCUUGACACAUGCAAGUCGAACGAGAUCUUCGGAUCUAGUGGCAGACGGGUGAGGAACACGUGGGAACAUCCCUUUCAGUUCGGAAUAACGUUGGGAAACUAACGCUAACACCGGAUACGUCCUUUGGGAGAAAGAUUUAUCGCUGAAAGAUUGGCCCGCGUCUGAUUAGCUAGUUGGUGAGGUAACGGCUCACCAAGGCUACGAUCAGUAGCUGAUCUGAGAGGAUGAUCAGCCACAUUGGGACUGAGACACGGCCCAAACUCCUACGGGAGGCAGCAGUGGGGAAUAUUGGACAAUGGGCGCAAGCCUGAUCCAGCCAUGCCGCGUGAGUGAUGACGGCCUUCGGGUUGUAAAGCUCUUUUGUCCGGGAAGAUAAUGACUGUACCGGAAGAAUAAGCCCCGGCAAACUUCGUGCCAGCCGCCGCCGUAA